GUUAUUUCAUGAAGCUAAAAAAUUGAAUUAUUCCAUGGAACAUUAAAAAAAAAAAAUCUCUACAAUUUCAAAAUACUUUACUCUGCAGUGCUGCCAAGAAUCACGAAUAUUACCACGAGUUUGAAUAAAUGGUAGAGUGGUUUUGAUUUUUUCUUCACAUAGAUACAAAGUAUUCGGCGCAUUUUUUGUGUUUUAAAAAGCACAUUUGCUAUAAUAAAAAUGCUGAUAGUUUAAAACCAAGCACAUGAACCCCUAUUUUUCAAUGUUUGUACCUCUUAGGUAUACCUUCCUCUACAACUCUGCAAAUUUUGGUGAAAAUGACAUGGAUUUUAAAUAAAGUGCAGCAUUUAUUGUACGUUUGUAGUUUGUUACUGAAAUUUUACAUUUUUUAGAUUGGGAUUUUGUUAUUUUUUACCCCAUUUUUAAGAACUGACAGUGCUGUUAAACUUAAAAUUGCAAACAAAUAGCACUAUAAGUAGAUUCUACACUCUAACAAUACAAUUAUUAACUCUCUUGCGAAAUUUGAUGACUUUUUCAUGUAUUUUGACUGAGUAAUAGAAGUUUAAAACUCAUUGUAGUAAUCUUGGGCGGUCUAAAAAUGCCAAAUUCUUUUGAAUGCGCAAUUCUUAAGAACAUCAAUUUGGGUGAAUUUUGAAGCUCUAUAGCAAAAAAUCAAGCACAUGGACCUAUGUUAAUUUUUGAAUAUUUCGAAUAUUAAGGUUCUAAAGUAUCUAUGCGCAAAGUUUGGUGAAAAUGACAUGGAUUUCACUUUAACUGUGGAACGUCCUUAAUCUGCUUUAAUCUGAGCAGCGCGCCGCCGCUAGCUGCGUCUAGCGGGGAGAUACAUCCUGUUCACUAAUUACCGCAGCGGGGGUGUGCUCGCGGGGUGCACGCUGCCAAUACAAUAUGGAUGGGCUCCCUUAAAUAACCAUGUGAUCGAUCAACUUGAAACCUUGCUCAUGUAUGCAAACAUAAGAGUGAUAGUGAUUAUAUCUUGAGGUAAUGUCAAGAUCAAAGGUCACAGAGGUCAUUACAUUAUAAGUACAUGGAUCUUGUUCUCAGGAUAAUUGAAGAACCCCUUUGGGGAUGAACUUCAAACUAAAUUCAUGUACAUUCUUAUUCAAGGGACAUUAAUGUCACAAUAUCAUAUGUCAGAGGUCACAGAGUCCAUUUUGUACUUGAAAAUAUCAUGCAGACUGAUACCCUGAUAGCAAUAUUCUUGACUAUUCUGGUCAUCUACCUUUCAUUUAUUCAUUUGUGAUGAAUUGGUUUGCCGUUGUCCACGACCACAAAUUAAUGAAAGGGUAAUGUAGUAGUUCAGUCAUUGCAAAUACAUGUAUUUUGUAUGGAUAGGAUGAAUUGGUGUUUGGCCAGUAAUAGAAAGUGACAUGUGUAUGUAGGUGGUGACUUUGAAAAAAAAAAGACAUCUAAUUUUGUGAUUUAAUUGUCCAGUUUGGUCAGAAGUCCCAUGUGGAAUGCGCAGCUUUCUCUCCCGAUGGUCAAUUCUUGGUGACUGGUAGUGUGGAUGGAUUCAUUGAGGUUUGGAACUUUCAGACUGGAAAGAUCAGAAAGGAUCUCAAGUAUCAGGCAGAGGAUUCGUUCAUGUUGAUGGAUGAUGCUGUGUUAUGUAUGUGCUUCAGUCGGGACAGCGAAAUGGUAGCUACUGGGGGUCAGGAUGGCAAGAUCAAGGUAUGGAAGGUUCAAACAGGACAAUGUUUGAGGAGAUUCGAGAAUGCUCACAGUAAAGGGGUCACUUCUGUCAAGUUCUCCAAAGAUGCCACUCAGAUUUUAAGCUCUUCAUUUGACCAAACUCUAAGGUUAGUAUAUUUCUAUUAUCUAUUUUCUUCAAGUACUCGUAAAGGCUAAAGGCUCAUUCUCUGUCAAGGCUCAUUCAAUUAUUGCACACCAAGGCUCAUUCAAUUAUUGCACACCAAAGCUCAGCAUCAAACCUCAUCAAUGUUUAAUAUCUUACAAAGUCAAUCGGAUUUAUGAGGCUUUAAAAAUGUUGAAGAGGCAAUCUGAAUUAUUUUCGUAAUGCGGCAAAAGCAAUUGCUGACCAGUCAAAUUUUGUUUUAAGAGUUGACGUAAAAUAAUCUGUCCAGAGUUGUUCAUACGAACUUGUGUCAUAAUACAACAUGAAAUCAUUACAUAGUACAUGUAUGAUUAUGAGUUGUGACAACACUAUGUAAAAUUUCUACAAUGUAUACGAUUCUCUGAGCGACCAUUGACAAUUUUCUAGACUUG